UACAGAGGGUGCGAGCGUUGUCCGGAAUCACUGGGCGUAAAGGGCGCGUAGGUGGCGCCGCAAGUCCAUGGUGAAAGCUCGAUGCUCAACAUCGAGUCGGCCACGGAGACUGCGGGGCUCGAGCACUGUAGGGGCAGAUGGAAUUCCGGGUGUAGCGGUGGAAUGCGUAGAGAUCCGGAAGAACACCGGUGGCGAAGGCGGCUCACUGGCCCGGUACUGACGCUGAGGUGCGAAAAGCGUGGGGGAGCAAACA
rnacentral:rRNA from 1 species